rnacentral:misc_RNA from 1 species
CCGGAUUUUGCCGCGGCGUAGAUUCAGUGAUAAUUGUGGAAAGUUAUUAGUUUCACUGUAAAUUGGGUGGGGUUAUCGAUAAAUUUUGAUAUUGGACCUAGAUCUUUACCGUAAUUCCUCUUGGUUCUAGGUUGAUCAACGGCAUGCCGGAAUUUGUUCGUGUCGGGGGCACAACUGAGAGCUGUAUGAAUCGCCGCGCUUCCCCGGUCGGCGGUGGUAUCGGCUGCAUCCAUGGCGUGAGACUCAACGACUUCCUUGAUCGGUCUUCUAUGGUAACAUUAGCACGCUGCCGCAUUUACUCACUGAUCAAUAAGGUAUCAAUCAGCCCGCCUGGUUAUCAGUAACUUGACCGGACUCAUGCGUUAAAAAGCUAUCAGUUUUUUUUUCAAGGGCUUAAUUUAGUGAGAUACCGGGAUACAACCGAGUUUCGCGUCGAUAUCAUUAUGAGAGACUCUGUUAUCGUUAGGCGAAGUCAGCACGCAUAACGUGUACCACCGCUGCGACCUCUCACGGCAGGCCUGGGAACCAGAGUUUAUUCUAACUGACACCAGGCGGCACGCAAGUGCAGUCUGUGUGGCGGCGCUGGCCGGAACGCACAAUGCCGACGUUAGAGAUGUAGGUGGCGCUGGCAGAGUGUCGUUCUGACCAGGGGUCGCCGCAGGUGGCCGAAAAUAUGAUAUCAUUCCUUAGUGCUAAUGGAGUCCAAUCACCCCCUUUUUUUCGUGUUCCCGUUCGAUCCCUGGACAAUGUGAGGAUUAAGGUCUUGGCUGGGCCCGGCCGGGUUCAAACGAUAUUCCUUACUCAUUCACAGUUAUACUCCGGCCCUGAAACCUCUUAAACAAAAAAAAAAAAAAAAAAAAUCACUUCAUUUUUCUAAACAAUGGUUCUUAGCUGAAUGAGAAACGCCCAUAAUUUCAGGUCUCCCCCCCCUCUUACCGACCGCGCCAUCCAUCCCCUUUUCGAUAUCUUCCCAAAUCCACUUGUCCGGCGGACCGCCCCUCUCCCGAAUUCCAUUAGGAUAAAAAGAACCGUUUGAUCGAUUCAGGUAUAUUUGACGGCCGAAUUCAGUUCCAUUGCAUUUAUUAAUAACACACAAGUAUAUACAACAAAAAAAUUAAUAGCGUCACCACAAUAUCAAUCGGGGGUUUGUCCUGGGUUUUAGUCUUCGGAAUCACUGUCGGCGGUCAUUUCUCGGGCGAGCCGGGCUAGACGAGCCGCCGUCCGUGCAGCCUUCCUCCAAGAUUUCCGGGCUUCCUUUUCUGCCGCCUCGGCCUCUCGUAGCUGGGCCUCGGCGGCUCGUACUGCGUCGCGGGCCCGCUCCAGAUCGCGGCGGGCGAGAAUCCGGGCAAUCCCGCACUGGCGUGCGGCUCGAUGGGCGGCGAGAGCAGCGGCCGCCGCGUGAUGAGCUGCCUCACUAGCUUCUAGCCCGGUAAACUCCGGCUCAGCCUGGGCUUCUUCGGGCUGAAAUAGCUCGGCUAGGAGCUGGGCUGCCUCGUCGUUCGCCAUGCGACUCCUCGCCGCCGAGGUGGAUAUCGGUGAAUGUCACGGCCACGGUCGGUCAUGGCCUCCUUCCAUUUCCCCCUUCACUCGCACCGAGGUGUUAAUGGCUCCCUCGCCCGGGGGCUUGGCAUCCCUUUGGGCGGGUCCGAGGGGACUAGGCCCGAUAGAUCUAUUCAUUCCGUAUCGAGACGUCACUCAGAGAACAUGCCGCUAAGGAGCCCGCCCCUCACACCGGCAUCCCCGUCGCCGGAGCCGUGGUCGCCGUCGAGCGAUAUGUCCUCGGCGACAGCGGGGUCGUUACCCCGCUACACGCCAGAGCCGCCACUCCCGGAUCCUCGGGACGUGCAGAUCGAAGAGUUGCGGCGCCAAAUUACCAACUUGGAGACAGCUCUGCAGAUCAAGGAGGAGUCUGCCAAGAAAGAAGUAGCCCGGCUGCGGCUGGACUUGCUGCGGAUGCGGCAGAUAAUGCUUCACGUCGCCGCCGACAUCACCAACCCCCGGCCGGGGGUUCGGCCCCUCCUCCGCUGGGCGGUGCUGGGCGGCAUCUGCCCGCCCGGGUCGUUGUCGGGGGAGUUUUAGCCCGCCCCGAGCACCGGCCCGGCGGGCGGAUUUUUUUUCCGAUGGUCUUUUUGCUAAAAUUGUCUUCACUGAUUGAUUCAAUAAACACCCACGCGGCCCCC